rnacentral:misc_RNA from 1 species
UUAAGUUCAGCGGGUAGUCCUACCUGAUUUGAGGUCAAAUGUCAAGAGUGUUGUCCACAUAAAAUGGGACGGUUAGAUAGCAAAACCCCCAAUAAAAUGUCAACUCUGCAAUUUGGCGUAGAUAAACUAUCACACCAGAGCGAGAAUCAACAGAGGCUCCACUGAUGCAUUUAAGGGGAGCCGACUUCUGAGAAGCCCGC